AUUGCUGCCCCGCACGAGGGUUUCUUCCGCCGCCGUGCCCCCAUCCCUCCGCCGCCGCCGUCCCUCCACCCUGUGGUACCCGUCCUCGACCCGUGGUCACCAAAUCUGGACGAGAUCGGCAGGAUCCGCCGCAUGUCCCGCGACACCUAGCCGCAGCUGCUCGUCGUCCAUGCGGGGAGCACGGACGAGCUGCUCGUCGACGUCCAUCCCGCAGCCCCGCUGACAACCGUGCCCAGCCUCCUCGACAGCGCGCCUCUCCAACUUGCCGCAUGGGAUUUCUAAUAUUCUGACAAGAGUCAAACUAGCAAUCGUGAAGAUGGAGAAUUCAUGCAACUCCAUCUUACUUCAACCCUCAGCCAUCUAAUUGGUGGUAUGGUGUGCUUCUGAUGGUAUUUCACGGCGUUUGUACCAGCAGCAUAG